rnacentral:tRNA from 1 species
GGCUACGUAGCUCAGCUGGUUAGAGCACAGCACUCAUAAUGCUGGGGUCGCANGUUCGAAUCNCGCCGUAGCCACCA